GACGAACGCUGGCGGCGCGCUUAACACAUGCAAGUCGUGCGGUGUCGAAGGCAAGUCUUACGACAAGCCUUCGACACAGCGGCGAACGGGUGAGUAACACGUGAGUAGCUGUCCUAAGGAGGGGGAUAACGCCUGGAAACGGGUGCUAAUACCCCAUAUGCCUCGCAAGAGGUGAAAGUGUACUUGCUACAGCCUUAGGGUGUGCUCGCGGCCUAUCAGCUAGUUGGUGAGGUAACGGCUCACCAAGGCUAAGACGGGUAGCCGGCCUGAGAGGGUGUACGGCCACACUGGAAUUGAGAUACGGUCCAGACUCCUACGGGAGGCAGCAGUGGGGAAUCUUGGGCAAUGGGCGAAAGCCUGACCCAGCGACGCCGCGUUGGGGAUGAAGCCCUUCGGGGCGUAAACCCAUGUUGUAGGGGACGAAGAAAGUAGACGGUACCCUACGAGAAAGCCCCGGCCAACUACGUG
rnacentral:rRNA from 1 species